rnacentral:rRNA from 1 species
GACGAACGCUGGCGGCGUGCUUAACACAUGCAAGUCGAACGAAGUGGCGAACGGGUGAGUAACGCGUAAUCAACCUGCCCUUCAGAGGGGGACAACAGUUGGAAACGACUGCUAAUACCGCAUACUGAAGGGGGGGAUUGCGUCUGAUUGGCUAGUUGGAGGGGUAACGGCCCACCAAGGCGAAGCUCAGUAGCCUGGCUGAGAGGAUGAACGGCCACAAUGGGACUGGGACACGGGCCAGACUCCUACGGGAGGCAGCAGUGGGGAAUCUUCCGCAAUGGAGGAAAGUCUGACGGAGCAAAGCCGCGGGAUGGAUGACGGCCUUCGGGGUGUAAAGCUCUGUUAAUCGGGACGCGGUACCGGAAGAGAAAGCCACGGCUAACUACGUGCCAGCAGCCGCGGUAAUUC